rnacentral:rRNA from 1 species
UACGUAGGGUGCAAGCGUUGUCCGGAAUUAUUGGGCGUAAAGAGCGUGUAGGCGGCCCCGUUAGUCCGCUGUGAAAGUCCAGGGCUCAACCCUGGAAUGCCGGUGGGUACUGCGGGGCUAGAGUCCGGAAGGGGCGAGUGGAAUUCCUGGUGUAGCGGUGAAAUGCGCAGAUAUCAGGAGGAACACCAAUGGCGAAGGCAGCCCGCUGGGACGUAACUGACGCUGAGACGCGAAAGCGUGGGGAGCAAACAGG